CUCUGCCCCUCUCCCUCCCUCACUCUCUCUCUCUCACCCUCUCUCCACUGCUCCCCCUCUCUUUCUGUGGCGCACUUUCACUUUCUGCCUUGUUUACCUUCUCUCACUCUUGGCCCUCCCUCCUUUCUCUAGAACAGAGUAGGGUGCACACAGUGCACACGCUCAACCUCCUACUGUCUCUCCUACUUCGUUUUUCUCUCACUCUGCCUGAGUCUCCCAUGGCUGACUGUCUCUCUGUCUUCAGUGAAGCUGGCGCUGUCUCUCUGUCUGUGUGUCUGUCCCCUGUGUGCAGCACAUGUUGAAGAGCUUCAUGUGGUGUGCCUACUGGGCAGGCUUGGGUAACCUGUCCUCUGUGGGACUGGGGACUGGCAUGCACACCUUCCUCCUGUACCUGCAGUGCGGAGCGGAAAAAUGGGGGCUGGCUGGCUCAAGAUCUGGGCUCCCAAACAUCUGGUAGUCUUUACAUUUGUUCUGAGAGCAUUAUUAACACUUAGCCACCCAUCUGUCAUUUGGGAGCAGCGCAGUCACAGUCCCAUUGCAUCGCCCAGUGGAGCUGAACUGGAAACUGUCCUCCAUUCUGUGUCAUGGAGAGCACACUCAAAUGUCAUUUGAGACAUUUUUUAUAUUCAAAUUUUUGUUGGGUGACCUGACUUACUUUCCAAGACGCCUGUCUGUUUCAAAGGAGGACGUCGCCAUCUUAUGGCCUUAUUGAUGGAUCAGUAGAUUUUCAGUGCUGUUUGAGGAAUCCGUUCAAGUUUCCUGCUUUUGAAUGUGGAGCUGAUUGAGACAGCUGGAUUGAUGGGGGCUGUUGCAGGGGCUGAAUUGAGUCAUUGUGAGUUUGUGCUCCCCUACCCACAGAGGCCUCAGUAGAACCAUAGAUGUAUGGUUAGAACACUGCUCCUUCUCUAAUCUAUCUUGUCCAUGUUCACUUCUACAGGAAAUGCUCACUACUACAGGAAACCAUAUGAAUGUUUGUAAUGAUUUUUGCAAUGUUUGAUGGUUGCAGCGACUUGUUUAUAGAAAUGUUUGUGGUCAUACGCACAUCCUUAAAAAUGUAGGUGCUGGGCUAAUAAAGAAUACUUGUAAAGAACCGGAAAGCUCGCACACUGUUUAUGCUUCCCCAAUUCACCGCUUUCUUGUCAACGUGACUUGUUUCCUCUUUCUAGAUACGGUCCUUCUUCUUCACAAUGGUUGAUGCAGCUUUCCUGCUUGGGUUGAGGGGGUUCACUGUGAACCCAUGCCCCUUACCUUCUGUGAGCAGUAGAUGGCGACAUUUGUCAGUGAAUGUGAGUCAGACGCUGCAUGCAAUGUAUGUAGCUGUACUGGCCAUGUUCGAGAGGAUCAAAACUGUAAUGUAUCAUGGGUAAAUUGUGACUGAUUGAUCUACAAAUAAUAAUGAGUAGGUAUUUAUGAUGCAAGGUACAUUGCAGAUCACUCAGUCGACAGUCGCCUGCACUGUUGGCUGCGAUGUUAAACAAGCUCACCCAGCAAACCAAAAUUGGUUAGGUCAUGCAAAUGUACUCAUAACACAUAAACUGUCCCGUUGAUGAUAAUUCUAGAAUGUUUGUAUAAAACAUUUGCCUAAUGUUGCAAGAAUGUUCCUCAAACAAAUGUCAUCUGUUCUUCAAAGGUUCCCAGAAUGUUUCAUUAGGGUGUGGGAACAGUCUGGUGAGAAUAUUGUGGGCACAUCACAAAAGAUAUGUUUCCGAAACACAAAAACUGUCCAGUUGUGCAGAUGAUUCUACAAUAUUUAUUUAGGGUGCAAAAAACACCUGAUGUCACACGGAUGUUCCCAGAAUAACAUUUAGUCUGUUCUUUAGAGGUGCCAAUAAUGUUUCAUUAGGCUGUGGGAACAUUGUGUGUGUAUGAUGAGAGAGGUUCCCAAAACACAAAAUAUGCUCAGUUGUGAUGACAUUCCUAUAAUGUAAGAAUGUUGUCAGAACACCUGGUCUAACUUCUUUAAAGGUUCCAGGAAUAUUAUAUUAAUUCAUGGGAGUUGUCUGGGAUGUUGCACGAAUAUUCCCACAGAACAUUCCCACAAUGUUCCACAAUUUACAGAUAAGUCAUGACGUUCAUAGCCUAUUUAUUUUAGGUUUGACAUAUUCAAUAUACAUUUUAUCUUGUCUUGGAGGUCCUCAGAAACAUGUCAAGACCAUUUAGAAAAUUAUAGAUUUAAUUUUUACCUUAUAUUACCACAACAUUCUCAGCAUGCAAAUGUGUAGCUCCUUAAAGCAGAUUGGAAUACAUCCUCAUUAUAUUUCUCUCCACGUUUAAUGGACGUCCAGGGGGUUUUUCCUAGCCACCGUGCUUCUACACCUGCAUUGCUUGCUGUUUGGGGUUUUAGGCUGGUUUUCUGUUCAGCACUUUGAGAUAUCAGCUGAUGUACGAAGGGCUAUAUAAAUAAAUUUGAUUUGAUUUUUGAUUCACAUUUGAAGGUGAUAUAGAGACACAUGGCAUUUUAAUUCAUAGGACAUUUGAACAGCAUUUAAUCAUACAAACACAACUAUAUUUUUUUACACUUCAAAAGUUGACAAUCUGCUUGGUUUGGUUCACAUGCCAGGUUUUUUUUAUCCUCUGCACCACCAGGAAUGCUCUUGUUUUUUUCACUAUAUAGCCAUGGCAGUAUGAAAUCAGGAAUUCCAUGCAUCCUUUUUUGUCUUCUUAGACAUAUCUGACCCGGGGAAAUAAUGGUAACUGGGUUAUUCACCCAUCCUCUUUAUAUGCUGCGUACAUCUGGGCUCAUAUUUACAAGGUAUCCAAGACUACGAGUGCUGAUCUUGGAUCACUUUUGCUUUUCAGAUCAUGAAAAAUGAUUUAACCUUUAUUUAACUAGGCAAGUCAGUUAAGAACAAAUUCUUAUUUACAAUGACGGCCUACACCGGCCAAACGCGGACGACGCUAGGCCAAUUGGGCGCCUUAUGGGACUCCCUAUCACGGCCAGUUGUGAUACAGCCUGGAAUCGAACCAGGGUGUCUGUAGUGAUGCCUCAAGCACUGAGGCGUCACUACAGACCACUGUGCCACUCGGGAGCAGCGGUCCGGAGUGAAAAAUAAGACGGGACAAUAUUAAGCUUUUCAAAGUAGGACUUCCAUUGGGUGUGUUUUUUAUGGUUGAACAGUUUUAUUUAAAUUCUGCAUUUCUGACUGGAUUUAUAAAUCUGGACGAAAUAAAGACAUUCUUUAUUUUUGGUUGAUUAUGUCUGAGCCUCAUU